rnacentral:rRNA from 1 species
UACGAAGGGGGCUAGCGUUGUUCGGAAUCACUGGGCGUAAAGCGCACGUAGGCGGCUUUUUAAGUCAGGGGUGAAAUCCUGGAGCUUAACUCCAGAACUGCCUUUGAUACUGAGGAGCUAGAGUCCGGAAGAGGUGAGUGGAACUGCGAGUGUAGAGGUGAAAUUCGUAGAUAUUCGCAAGAACACCAGUGGCGAAGGCGGCUCACUGGUCCGGUACUGACGCUGAGGUGCGAAAGCGUGGGGAGCAAACAGG